UGAGUUUCUAGCACAUGCUUUUGGGGGGACCUAUUCAAACUAUGGCACUUACCUAGCUAAUUCUACAUCUGAUGUAAACAUUUUAAGUUGCUAUAUAAUAUGGAUUCCAUAUUUAGGCUUUACUGUGCAUAACUUACAUCUAGACUUUAGUAGUUUUUCUUUCACAAGAUAUUGAAAGUUCACAGUAAAUAAAAAAACAUUCGCCUAAUUUUUGUAUGUUUAUACUAGAUCAUGCUUUACGAUUAUGGAAUAUCCAAACGGACACUCUGGUGGCAAUAUUUGGAGGCGUAGAAGGGCACAGAGAUGAAGUUCUAAGUGCUGUAAGUUGAAAACUGCAGGGCAAUGACUUUCAGGUUUACAUAGCUGUGAACAGUCUCCAUGGAACUCUUUCCUUAUAAGAAAGUGUGUUUUAUGUAGCCUGUCAGGCAGACAUUCACUUACGUUUGACAUAGAAGAUUUUAAUCUCCAAAUGAAGGAAUAAAACAAGUAAAGACUAUAUUUAUUUAUUUAUUUUUUAAAUUACUUGCACUUUAUACCAAUCCCUGGAGUCUUCUGAGAGCAGUAUGAUCUUGCUCCUUUCCUUUUAAUCUAAAAUCACUAAGUUAAUGUUUGUUUUGCUGUUUCGCAGUUAUUAAAGAAAAAAAAAUUAAACUAUGUAGCCAUUAAAGUGCUUUUCCAUCUUUUGUUUGAAGUUGAAACAUAAGUUUUUUGCUUUUUGGAAGUGUUUUAUUGUGCUCACACUGUUUUAGGUAACUUAUUUCUAGCUAUUCUCUUUGGGUGGCGUAGUAUAACACAAGACCAGUUUAAAGAUAAAUACCACCUUUAUAUUGAUGUAUUGUAAUCCAUUGGUCUAUUAUACAAGUGUUUUUAGUUAGGUUUCAGAUUUUAACAUUAUUUUCGUUUAUGUUCCAUAUUUAGCUCAUUUGAUUCCUGUAGUAAUUUCACACCUCUUAGGUUAUUUUCCAUUAAACUAUGUAAAGGGGCAGCAUAUUUUACAGCAUGUAACAUUUUAGUUGAAGGUACUAAAAUAUUCCUAUGUUGAGGUUUGUAUUCCUUUGUGAGAAUCAUACCUUCCUUCGAAUACCUUGUCAACUUGGAUUUCCUAAAAGUUGCAGUAGCAUUCUACAUCUGGCUUUAUGUGUGUAAAAGCCAAGUGAACUGUUCUUUAUUAAUAACUCCAAAUUAGUGGUAUUGUCUCGAAGGAUGUCUUGUUGCUGUUGACAGGUAAUUAGAAGUACCACAACUGUGAAUUCAAUAAACAUCAAGCCUAAAGUUCUUAGGCUCUUAUAAAAUGGUGCUCAUAAUUAAUUCAAAGGCUGGAUUAACAUAUAAUAUCUAGGUUAGUAAGGAAAAUAUACUCCUUCAAUAGAACUCUCUACUGUUAUUUCUUAGAAUGAGAGCAGGAGACAGUAUAUAGCUCUUCUGUGUAAUACAGGAGUUCACCGAUAGGUGGAUAGGUGUAUGAGAUUUUCAUUACUCAUUAUGUGCCUUUUGCUAAAUUAAAUAGCAUCUCUAGUGUCUGCCUAUGAAAUGAGGUUGUUACAAUAGAUGAUCUGUUACAUGCCUGUUAAAAAUUAGUAAACAGCAAAUGAAAAAAGUUAAAAUCUGUUUUUUAUUAGACUUUUAAAAAUUCACUUAAAAGUGAACUCUAAAACUAACUUCAAAAUAUAUUGACUUAGAAUUAUAAAGUAAAAUGUCAGCUCUUUAAGGAUUCAUGUAUUUUCACAUGCACAUGUCAGUUUCAUUCGUUGGUUGAGGUUGGAUAGGAAAAGUAAUAUCACUAUUCAGCUCUUUGUGUCAGAAUAAUUAUUUUACCUUAGUAUUCAAUUUACCUUCAAAAUAAGCAAAAUAAAUAUUUUAGUGUAAUUGAAUAGAUAAAACUAAGUAAUUUUUUCUUGAUUUAUGCAUUGUAAAUGCUCAUAUAUUCCGAUGUUGACAAACUAAUUAAAACUGUAAAUCUUGAAAGUAGUAAACUCUGAUUUAUGGCCUAUUUAGAUGAAACCCAAAAUGUAGUUUGUAUUGUGAUUUGAAAUACAGUUUUCACUAUGUUGCACAUUAGGCGAAAAUUGGAUAAAUAUAAUUUGGAGCUGUAAUUUAUAUAAAACUUUUUGGUUUUACAUACAGGAUUAUGAUCUUUUGGGUGAAAAAAUAAUGUCCUGUGGUAUGGAUCAUUCUCUUAAACUUUGGAGGAUCAAUUCAAAGAGAAUGAUGAAUGCAAUUAAGGAAUCUUACGAUUAUAAUCCAAAUAAAACUAACAGGCCAUUUAUUUCUCAGAAAAUCCAUUUUCCUGAUUUUUCUACCAGAGACAUACAUAGGAAUUAUGUUGAUUGUGUGCGAUGGUUAGGCGAUUUGAUACUUUCUAAGUCUUGUGAAAAUGCCAUUGUGUGCUGGAAACCUGGCAAGAUGGAAGAUGAUAUAGAUAAAAUUAAACCCAGUGAAUCUAAUGUGACUAUUCUUGGGCGAUUUGAUUACAGCCAGUGUGACAUUUGGUACAUGAGGUUUUCUAUGGAUUUCUGGCAAAAGAUGCUUGCAUUGGGCAAUCAAGUUGGCAAACUUUAUGUUUGGGAUUUAGAAGUAGAAGAUCCUCAUAAAGCCAAAUGUACAACACUGACUCAUCAUAAAUGUGGUGCUGCUAUUCGACAAACCAGUUUUAGCAGGGAUAGCAGCAUUCUUAUAGCUGUUUGUGAUGAUGCCAGUAUUUGGCGCUGGGAUCGACUUCGAUAAAAUACUUUUGCCUAAUCAAAAUUAGAGUG
rnacentral:sRNA from 1 species